rnacentral:antisense_RNA from 1 species
GGACGUUGGAGGGGCGGCCGCAUGGAGUAAGUACUGUCUCUGGCCACCCAGCAGAGCCAGUGACAGUAGCGUCAUGGUAGGCAGGCAGGCGUAUCAGGUUUCAGAGGAUGCGGCUGGGAACGGGAGUAGAGGUGAGGGGACGUUGCAUCUGUCGCGGUGUGUAUCUUUUGGGGGUUCAGCGCCACCAGCGACCUGGGCCUCAUUCAUCGCGCUUACAUUUCUCCACCUCAUUUGAAGAACGAGCUUGGUAGCCCACGGAGCUGAGGUAUAUGAGCUCCCUGAAAGCACAAAGCAGUUAUUUCAAUCUUCAGAUCAUUCAGAGAUUAUGAAGGCACAAACCCUGCCUUCAAUUUGCUUAUAGUCAAGUGGAGCAGACACAAGUCAAUGAUGGCAGUAUAGCCACUUAAGUAAUCUAAAAGAGGUGGGGAGGCCACAGCUCAUGUGAAUGACUUUCUCAGGAGUUAUAAAGUGAUACAGACUUAUCAGCAGGUUGCAGGUGAACAUGGCCUUGAGAUGUUUUUCUUCUAAAUAAAUGAGAAAGAUGUUUCAACAAAGGCUCUUUAUGCUGAAUAAUUGUGAUGCUUGAAGUUGCUAAUCUGCUUUAAGUGGAUUUUAAAUGUCAGACAAUUCUAGACAGUUUUUUCUUGGUCAAAUAAAAAUUUAAUUAAAACUUUA